UACGUAGGGUGCAAGCGUUGUCCGGAAUUUAUUGGGCGUAAAGAGCUCGUAGGCGGUUCGUCGCGUCGGCUGUGAAAUCCCGAGGCUCAACCUCGGGUCUGCAGUCGAUACGGGGCGGACUGGAGUUCGGCAGGGGAGACUGGAAUUCCUGGUGUAGCGGUGAAAUGCGUAGAUAUCUGGAGGAACACCGGUGGCGAAGGCGGCAUCCUGGACCGACAUUGACGCUGAGGCGCGAAAAGCCAGGGGGAGCAAACGGGG
rnacentral:rRNA from 1 species